GAUGAACGCUAGCUACAGGCUUAACACAUGCAAGUCGAGGGGCAGCAUUUCAGUUUGCUUGCAAACUGGAGAUGGCGACCGGCGCACGGGUGAGUAACACGUAUCCAACCUGCCGAUAACUCGGGGAUAGCCUUUCGAAAGAAAGAUUAAUACCCGAUGGUAUAAUCAGACCGCAUGGUCUUGUUAUUAAAGAAUUUCGGUUAUCGAUGGGGAUGCGUUCCAUUAGGCAGUUGGUGAGGUAACGGCUCACCAAACCUUCGAUGGAUAGGGGUUCUGAGAGGAAGGUCCCCCACAUUGGAACUGAGACACGGUCCAAACUCCUACGGGAGGCAGCAGUGAGGAAUAUUGGUCAAUGGGCGCAGGCCUGAACCAGCCAAGUAGCGUGAAGGAUGACUGCCCUAUGGGUUGUAAACUUCUUUUAUAUGGGAAUAAAGUUUUCCACGUGUGGAAUUUUGUAUGUACCAUAUGAAUAAGGAUCGGCUAACUCCGUGCCAGCAGCCGCGGUAAUACGGAGGAUCCGAGCGUUAUCCGGAUUUAUUGGGUUUAAAGGGAGCGUAGGUGGACAGUUAAGUCAGUUGUGAAAGUUUGCGGCUCAACCGUAAAAUUGCAGUUGAUACUGGCUGUCUUGAGUACAGUAGAGGUGGGCGGAAUUCGUGGUGUAGCGGUGAAAUGCUUAGAAAUCACGAAGAACUCCGAUUGCGAAGGCAGCUCACUGGACUGCAACUGACACUGAUGCUCGAAAGUGUGGGUAUCAAACAGGAUUAGAUACCCUGGUAGUCCACACAGUAAACGAUGAAUACUCGCUGUUUGCGAUAUACAGUAAGCGGCCAAGCGAAAGCAUUAAGUAUUCCACCUGGGGAGUACGCCGGCAACGGUGAAACUCAAAGGAAUUGACGGGGGCCCGCACAAGCGGAGGAACAUGUGGUUUAAUUCGAUGAUACGCGAGGAACCUUACCCGGGCUUAAAUUGCAUUUGAAUAUAUUGGAAACAGUAUAGCCGUAAGGCAAAUGUGAAGGUGCUGCAUGGUUGUCGUCAGCUCGUGCCGUGAGGUGUCGGCUUAAGUGCCAUAACGAGCGCAACCCUUAUCUUUAGUUACUAACAGGUCAUGCUGAGGACUCUAGAGAGACUGCCGUCGUAAGAUGUGAGGAAGGUGGGGAUGACGUCAAAUCAGCACGGCCCUUACGUCCGGGGCUACACACGUGUUACAAUGGGGGGUACAGAAGGCAGCUACCUGGUGACAGGAUGCUAAUCCCAAAAGCCUCUCUCAGUUCGGGUCGAAGUCUGCAACCCGACUUCGUGAAGCUGGAUUCGCUAGUAAUCGCGCAUCAGCCAUGGCGCGGUGAAUACGUUCCCGGGCCU
rnacentral:rRNA from 1 species